rnacentral:rRNA from 1 species
UACGAAGGGGGCUAGCGUUGUUCGGAGUUACUGGGCGUAAAGGGCGCGUAGGCGGCGCAUCAAGUCAGGCGUGAAAGCCCUGGGCUCAACCCGGGAAUUGCGCUUGAGACUGGUGUGCUUGAGUACGGGAGAGGAUAGUGGAAUUCCCAGUGUAGAGGUGAAAUUCGUAGAUAUUGGGAAGAACACCAGUGGGCGAAGGCGGCUAUCUGGGACCGUAACUGACGCUGAGGCGCGAAAGCGUGGGGAGCAAACAGG